CUAGACGAGUUUGAUCCUGGCUCAGGAUGAACGCUAGCGGCAGGCUUAAUACAUGCAAGUCAAGGGGGUAGCAAUACAACCGGCGCACGGGUGAGUAACGCGUACACAACAUGCCAUAUACUGGGGUAUAGCUUUGGGAAACUGAAGGUAAUCCCCCAUAGUAUUGCGGGUAGGCAUCUAUCUGCAAUUAAAGUUUCGACGGUAUAUGAUUGGUGUGCGUUCCAUUAGCUAGUUGGUAGGGUAACGGCCUACCAAGGCGACGAUGGGUAGCUGGCGUGAGAGCGCGACCAGCCACACUGGAACUGAGACACGGUCCAGACUCCUACGGGAGGCAGCAGUAGGGAAUAUUGGACAAUGGGCGAAAGCCUGAUCCAGCCAUGCCGCGUGAUAGAUGAAGGCCCUCUGGGUUGUAAAUAUCUUUUAUCUGGGAAGAAACUCCUCUAUUCUUAGAGGCCUGACGGUACCAGAGGAAUAAGCACCGGCUAACUACGUG
rnacentral:rRNA from 1 species